UACUACCGAUUGAAUGGCUCAGUGAGGCCUUCGGACUGGCUCAGGGAGGUCGGCAACGACCACCCAGAGCCGGAAAGUUGGUCAAACUCGGUCAUUUAGAGGAAGUAAAAGUCGUAACAAGGUUUCCGUAGGUGAACCUGCGGAAGGAUCAUUA
rnacentral:rRNA from 1 species